CUUACAUUUCCUUUAUCCCAAUUUACGAGUCGUGGUAAUCGUAUAAAAUAUUCUUAUUUUACAAUAGUGUAGCCUUACAUUUUCUGUUUGAAAUUCCUUACUCCUAAUAUCUCGCUAAAAGAGUACCAUUACCUACAAUUUACUUUGUUUAUAUUGGAAGCAUGAUCGCUAAUGAAAAAAAAAGUAAAAGACACUAAAUUUACGUCGACAAUUUCUAUCCUUCUUUUUAAUCAUGGAAAAUUCACUUGGCUCUUCAAUUCAAACAGCAUUAAUGACUGCAUGAAAGAAAUAUAACUUUUUCAAAGUUUUAGCCUUUAUUGUAUUGUCUUUAUUACUCAAUGAUAUUCAAUUUUACUUGAACUUUUAAAGUAUGCAGCUGGAAUCACAUAUAAUAGAUUUUUCUGUGCUACUAAUUGAUGUCUUAAUGCAAUUUCAACUGUUUUGUUCCUCAAAGCAAAAAUUUAUGAAUAAAAACGGAUGUGCUUCGUGUUACUAGUUGGUGGCAGGAACCAGCAAAUUUCAUUUUCUUGUGAAGAAACCAUAAAUUCUACCUUGACAGCGAUAUGCUUCAAGUUAUACAGUAUAUGUGCUGCCUUAGUUCGCAGGAUAAUGUAUCAGGAUAUUGUCAAGCUUUAACUGGAUUUGAUUAUACUCGGAAACUUCCUUAGGUUAAAAACUUUUAAAAUUGGCAUAAAAUCUUUUUCUCGUGGAUCUUCCAGCCAUAGCACGACAGGGAGUACUAAUUAAAGUACGUUUUGCUUAGCUGUACCUACGUUAAUGUCGAUCUGAAGCUUUAAGCUACUACUUCCACCUAAUACUGUCGUGUCGAUCCCAUAACGGUGUGUUAUCGACGAUAAAUACAUCAAUGUACGCGUUUUUUAUUUUAUGUAAUUUAUUAGAAUAUUUUUUAAAAGUUGUAAAAUUUUUUGGUAUAUAUUUUUAAAACAGGGUGGUGUUGCAUUUCUAAAUAUUUCUCCAUGUAUAUUGAUUAUGCACUUUUCCGUU